GACAAACGGAUCGAGUUAAAAUUAAUGAUAGUAAAAAAGGAGGUUAAUAGAUUUGUGUUGAAAAAUAAUGUUCUUUAGAGAGGUAAAAUUCAGAUAAAGAGAGAUAAAUUGAGUUUUUCUUUUAUUGAUGCCUCGAAAUUUUGUUAUGAGACCGGGAUUAGAUACCCCGUUAUUCAAAAUGUAAACUUUGAUUGUAUUUAUAAUUUACUUGAGUAUUACGAGAUAAGAGAUUUAUUUUUGUAUAUAUGUGUAUAUGUUUCUUAAAACUCAAAAAACUUGGCGGUGCCUCAUCCUUCCAGGGGAACCUGUCCUAUAAUCGAUAGUCCCCGAUUUAACUUUCUUUCUUUUGAAUUUGUUAUCAGCUUGUAUACCGUCGUCGUCAGGUUACCUUUAAGAGUUGUGAAGUUAUCGGUGAGAAUUAGAGUGGAUUUGAUUUUGUGUAAUGUGCUAGAGAUUAGUUGUGUGAGUUCUAGACGUCAGAUCAAGGUGCAGCUUAUAAGAAAGUAGAGAUGGGUUACAAUAAUGAAUUAUUAUUACGGAUUUUUGUUGUGAUAAGCAGAACUGAAGGAGGACUUGGAAGUAAUUAGUUUAAAGAUAAGAGAGCUUAAAUGAAAAUAGGCUCUGAGGUGCGU
rnacentral:rRNA from 2 species